UGGGGAAUAUUGCACAAUGGGCGAAAGCCUGAUGCAGCAACGCCGCGUGAGUGAUGAAGGCCUUCGGGUUGUAAAGCUCUGUCUUUUGGGACGAUAAUGACGGUACCAAAGGAGGAAGCCACGGCUAACUACGUGCCAGCAGCCGCGGUAAUACGUAGGUGGCAAGCGUUGUCCGGAUUUACUGGGCGUAAAGGAUGCGUAGGCGGAUUUUUAAGUGAGAUGUGACAACCCUAAGCUUAACUUGGGGACUGCAUUUCAUACUGGAAAUCUAGAGUGCGGGAGAGGAGAAUGGAAUUCCUAGUGUAGCGGUGAAAUGCGUAGAGAUUAGGAAGAACACCAGUGGCGAAGGCGAUUCUCUGGACCGUAACUGACGCUGAGGCAUGAAAGCGUGGGUAGCAAACAGGAUUAGAUACCCUGGUAGUCCACGCCGUAAACGAUGAGUACUAGGUGUAGGAGGUAUCGACCCCUUCUGUGCCGCAGUUAACACAAUAAGUACUCCGCCUGGGAAGUACGAUCGCAAGAUUAAAACUCAAAUGAAUUGACGGGGUCAUAGCUGUUUCCU
rnacentral:rRNA from 1 species